rnacentral:sRNA from 1 species
GCAGACUGUCAUAGAGUGGUCCCAGGUCCACUUCCUCAGGGAGAUCAUCGAGGCCAUGUUGAAAGCCUAUCAGCAGAAGCUCUUUGUGACUCACACAGUUGAUGAAUUGCUCUGGGGCUACAAAGAUGAAAUCUUGUCCCUUAUCCAUGUUUUCAGGCCCGAUAUCUCUCCCUAUUUUGGCCUAUUCUAUGAGAAAAAUGGGACUAAUGAUGGAGACUAUGUUUUUCUAACUGGAGAAGACAAUUACCUUAACUUUACAAAGAUUGUGGAAUGGAAUGGGAAAACGUCACUUGACUGGUGGAUAACAGACAAGUGCAAUAUGAUUAAUGGAACAGAUGGAGAUUCUUUUCACCCACUAAUAACCAAAGAUGAGGUCCUUUAUAUCUUCCCAUCUGAUUUUUGCAGGUCAGUGUAUAUUACUUUCAGUGACUAUGAGAGUGUACAGGGACUGCCUGCCUUUCGGUAUAAAGUUCCUGCAGAAAUAUUAGCCAAUACGUCAGACAAUGCUGGCUUCUGUAUACCUGAGGGAAACUGCCUGGGCUCAGGAGUUCUGAAUGUCAGCAUCUGCAAGAAUGGUAAGAACUCAGAGAGGGGACAUGAUAGGGGUGUCAAGAAUGCAGAAGGAUUGGAUUUCAAUGAAGAAUAUGUAGCUGGGCAUAGUGGCACACACCUACAGUCCCAGCUACUAAGGAUGCUGAGGUGGGAUGAUCACUUGAGCCCAGGAGUUCUCAAGUCCAUCCUGGGCAACAUAGCGAGACCCCAUCUCUAAAAAACAAAACAAACAAAAAAGAAUAUAUUGUCAGCCCAAUAGAAAGAUCAGUUUCUUUCAAGAAUAAUGUCUCAUAACAUGGCUAUUGAAUGGUAAAAAAAACAAUUAUUGGCUUUUCUAUGAUGCUUUUUAUUUCUAGAAUGCCAUGUUGUGUUUUUGUUUUCUGGACAGUGGUUUAGAAGUCUUAACAGUAAUAAUAGCUCAUGUUUACUAAGCACCUGAUGUAUGCCAGUUGCUGUCCUAAGUGCUUUACAUAUUUACAUGUAGUUAAUGCAUGCAAAACAUUAACUGAUUUCAUGUUCAAAACAAUGCUAAGGCUGGGCACGGUGGCUCAUGCUUGUAUUCCCAGCACUUUGAGAGGCCUAGGUGUGAGGAUUGCUUGAGGCCAGGGGUUCAAGAUCAGCCUGGGCAACAUAGCAAGACCCUGUCUCUACAAAAAAAAAAAAAGUAAAAAAUUAGCUGGGUGUGGCUAUACCUGUAGUCACAGCUGCUCAGGAGGCUGAGGCAGGGAGAUUGCUUGAGCCCAGGAGUUCGAGGUUGCAGUGUGCUAUGAUUGUGCUACUGCACUCCAGCCUGGGCAAAAGAGUGAUUCCGCACCUACCCGCCAAAAAAAAAAAAAAAAAAAAAAAAAAAAGCUAAAAGAAAAAGUGGACAACUCAGUUUUAAGAAAGUACGUAUCAUGGCAAAGAUUCUCAGUGAUUUGAAAGCCGAGUUAGUUUUAAACCCUGACACAAAUGUCCCAGUGUUUCUUAAUGUCAGAGCUACUCUGCUCCUUUCCAUGAAUGAGGCAGAAUUAUCAGUGGCACAACUGACAAAACUAUUUUCUUCAUCUUGAAGAGUAGUUUUAACAGCCACAUGUUGCAGAAUUAUUCACAGCGAACUUACUAGAUAGUAGACAUUCAGUGGCCUGUUUUUAUAAUUGGGGAAACUAGGGCUCAGAGAGGGAACAUGAUUUUGAUGCGACUCCUCCCUCUGAGCAGAUCCCUGGCGGAACUCAGGGUCUUCUCAUAUUUGCCCUGUGAUUCCCUCUUGGGCUAUAAUUCCUCUUUAAAAUUUCUCUGGAGAUCUCUCUGUGUAGUCCCUUUCUCCUGAAUAAAGUAAUGUGCUCACUUUUGCUCCCUUAUCUAACUCAUUUUAAAAUCUCCUUUCAGGCCUGGCAUGGUGGCGUGUGCCUGUAGGCCCAGCUACUCAGGAGGCUAUGGUGGGAGGGUCGCUUGAGCCCAGUUUGAUUCUAGCC